UACGAAGGGGGCUAGCGUUGUUCGGAAUUACUGGGCGUAAAGCGCGUGUAGGCGGGACGGCACGUCGGUCGUUGAAAGCCCCCGGCUCAACCGGGGAACCGGCGCCGAUACGACCGUCCUGGAGGGACGUAGGGGGACCUGGAACUUCCGGUGGAGCGGUGAAAUGCGUUGAGAUGUGGAGGAACACCGAUGGCGAAGGCAGCCUCCUGGGCCAGCACUGACGCUCAUGCACGAAAGCGUGGGGAGCAAACAGG
rnacentral:rRNA from 1 species